rnacentral:tRNA from 1 species
UCCUCGUUAGUAUAGUGGUGAGUAUCCCCGCCUGUCACGCGGGAGACCGGGGGUUCGAUUCCCCGACGGGGAG